rnacentral:rRNA from 1 species
AUGAACGCUGGCGGCGUGCCUAAUACAUGCAAGUCGCGCGAACGGACGAGAAGCUUGCUUCUCUGAUGUUAGCGGCGGACGGGUGAGUAACACGUGGAUAACCUACCUAUAAGACUGGGAUAACUUCGGGAAACCGGAGCUAAUACCGGAUAAUAUUUUGAACCGCAUGGUUCAAAAGUGAAAGACGGUCUUGCUGUCACUUAUAGAUGGAUCCGCGCUGCAUUAGCUAGUUGGUAAGGUAACGGCUUACCAAGGCAACGAUGCAUAGCCGACCUGAGAGGGUGAUCGGCCACACUGGAACUGAGACACGGUCCAGACUCCUACGGGAGGCAGCAGUAGGGAAUCUUCCGCAAUGGGCGAAAGCCUGACGGAGCAACGCCGCGUGAGUGAUGAAGGUCUUCGGAUCGUAAAACCCUGUUAUUAGGGAAGAACAUAUGUGUAAGUAACUGUGCACAUCUUGACGGUACCUAAUCAGAAAGCCACGGCUAACUACGUG